rnacentral:rRNA from 1 species
AUCAACGCUGGCGGCGUGCCUAACACAUGCAAGUCGAACGGGAAAGUCCCCGCAAGGGGAUGAGUACAGUGGCGAACGGGUGAGUAACACGUGACUAACCUACCCUCGAGUGGGGGAUAACCUCGGGAAACCGGGGCUAAUACCGCAUAAGACCACGGGGUGAAAAUCCCUGGGGUCAAAGGGGCAACUCGCUGGGGGAGGGGGUCGCGGCCGAUUAGCUAGUUGGCGGGGUAACGGCCCACCAAGGCAAUGAUCGGUAGCCGGCCUGAGAGGGCGCACGGCCACACUGGAACUGAAACACGGUCCAGACUCCUACGGGAGGCAGCAGUGGGGAAUUUUGCGCAAUGGGGGAAACCCUGACGCAGCAACGCCGCGUGGAGGAUGAAGCCCCUUGGGGUGUAAACUCCUUUCGAUCGGGACGAAAACAAUGACGGUACCGGAAGAAGAAGCACCGGCUAACUCUGU